UACGUAGGGUCCGAGCGUUGUCCGGAAUUACUGGGCGUAAAGAGCUCGUAGGCGGUUCGGUAAGUCGGAUGUGAAAUCUCCACGCUCAACGUGGAGGGGCCAUUCGAUACUGCCGCGACUCGAGUCCGGUAGGGGAGUGUGGAAUUCCCGGUGUAGCGGUGAAAUGCGCAGAGAUCGGGAGGAACACCCGUAGCGAAGGCGGCACUCUGGGCCGGUACUGGACGCUGAGGAGCGAAAGCGUGGGGAGCGAACGAGGA
rnacentral:rRNA from 1 species